AUGCUCCUCCCACAACCCAGAAACAUCCCGUUCUAUAGGAAGACAUCCGGCCAGAGACCCCAGUCCACCGGCCAGAGACCCCAGCAGUCCACCGGCCAGAGACCCCAGCAGUCUACCGGCCAGGGAACCCAGCAGUCUACCGGCCAGGGAACCCAGCAGUCUACCGGCCAGGGAACCCAGCAGUCUACCGGCCAGGGAACCCAGCAGUCUACCGGCCAGGGACCCCAUAAUACAGGAAAUGACCACGACACAGGUAAAGGGAUGAGUGGUACAGACCUGCAGUGUUUUUCCCAGGCCCAUACAGUGAACCAGGAUACAUCCGGAACCAGAGUUCUUGUUGGUUUUCUUCACCGACUCACAACAGCAGUCCCACAUGAACUGGACCCCUAGAGAGACAGAAAGCUCAGACUACAGAAAUCCUUCCAUUGUUGGCAGCACUGAACCCAUGAAGCAUGGCAUUGACUUGGUAAGUGAGUAAAAUACGAACACCCUUGUUUUCACCAUAAAAAAUCAACAUGAUUAAAGACAAACAUUGAUACUACUACUAGAACAACUAUUACUACUACUACUGUUACUACUUCUGCUACUACGACUGUUACUACUGAUACUACUACUACUACUGUUUCUACUACUACUACUACUACUACAACAACUAUUACUACUACUACUGUUACUACUUCUGCUACUACGACUGUUUCUACUACUACUACAACAACUACUACUACUGCGACUGUUACUACUGAUACUACCACU
rnacentral:lncRNA from 13 species